rnacentral:rRNA from 1 species
CCCGGCCCAUAUUUCUACGGGAGGCAGCAGUAGGGAUCUUCCACAAUGGGCGCAAGCCUGAUGGAGCAACACCGCGUGAGUGAAGAAGGGUUUCGGCUCGUAAAACUCUGUUGUUAAAGAAGAACGUAUCUAAGAGUAACUGCUUAGGUAGUGACGGUAUUUAACCAGAAAGCCACGGCUAACUACGUGCCAGCAGCCGCGGUAAUACGUAGGUGGCAAGCGUUAUCCGGAUUUAUUGGGCGUAAAGCGAGCGCAGGCGGUUUUUUAAGUCUGAUGUGAAAGCCUUCGGCUUAACCGAAGAAGUGCAUCGGAAACUGGGAGACUUGAGUGCAGAAGAGGACAGUGGAACUCCAUGUGUAGCGGUGAAAUGCGUAGAUAUAUGGAAGAACACCAGUGGCGAAGGCGGCUGUCUGGUCUGUAACUGACGCUGAGGCUCGAAAGCAUGGGUAGCGAACAGGAUUAGAUACCCUGGUAGUCCAUGCCGUAAACGAUGAAUGCUAAGUGUUGGAGGGUUUCCGCCCUUCAGUGCUGCAGCUAACGCAUUAAGCAUUCCGCCUGGGGAGUACGACCGCAAGGUUGAAACUCAAAGGAAUUGACGGGGGCCCGCACAAGCGGUGGAGCAUGUGGUUUAAUUCGAAGCAACGCGAAGAACCUUACCAGGUCUUGACAUCUAGCGCCAAUCUCAGAGAUGAGACGUUCCCUUCGGGGACGCUAAGACAGGUGGUGCAUGGUUGUCGUCAGCUCGUGUCGUGAGAUGUUGGGUUAAGUCCCGCAACGAGCGCAACCCUUAUUAUCAGUUGCCAGCAUUUAGUUGGGCACUCUGGUGAGACUGCCGGUGACAAACCGGAGGAAGGUGGGGACGACGUCAAAUCAUCAUGCCCCUUAUGACCUGGGCUACACACGUGCUACAAUGGACGGUACAACGAGUUGCGAACUCGCGAGGGUAAGCUAAUCUCUUAAAGCCGUUCUCAGUUCGGACUGUAGGCUGCAACUCGCCUACACGAAGUCGGAAUCGCUAGUAAUCGCGGAUCAGCAUGCCGCGGUGAAUACGUUCCCGGGCCUUGUACACACCGCCCGUCACACCAUGAGAGUUUGUAACACCCAAAGUCGGUGGGGUAACCUUUUAGGAGCCAGCCGCCUAAGGUGGGACAGAUGAUUAGGGUGAAGUCGUAACAAGGUAGCCGUAGAGGAACC